rnacentral:rRNA from 1 species
UGAGGAAUAUUGGGCAAUGCCCGCAAGGGUGACCCAGCAACGCCGCGUGGAGGAUGAAUGUCGUAAGAUUGUAAACUCCUGUUAGAGGGGAAGAAUAGUACCGGUUGGACCGGUAUAUGACUGUACCCUCAGAGAAAGCCCCGGCUAACUACGUGCCAGCAGCCGCGGUAAUACGUAGGGGGCAAGCGUUGUCCGGAUUUACUGGGUGUAAAGGGCGCGCAGACGGGAUAAAAAGUCAGUGGUGAAAUCCUACAGCUUAACUGUAGAACUGCCUUUGAUACUUUUAUUCUU